AGAGAGAGAGAGAGCGGUCUGUUAGUAAUGUAUCAUCAUGUCUGUCCCGGGAGCGAAGAGUAGGAGAUGAGAGAGAGAGGUUCUGUUAGUAAUGUAUCAUCAUGUCUGUCCAGGAGAGAGAGAGAGAGAGGUAUGUUAGUAAUGUAUCAUCAUGUCUGUCCAGGAGAGAGAGAGAGAGGUCUGUUAGUAAUAAUGAUCAUCAUGUCUGUCCAGGCGAGA
rnacentral:lncRNA from 1 species